rnacentral:misc_RNA from 1 species
AGCUGUUCCCCUCUGGAGGUUUUUUGACCUUCACACCUUAAAGGGCCCCGAACGUUCGGCGGCCCUCUUUUUUUGCUUGA